AUGGGAUCUGGAGCUCGAGCUCGUCCUCGCCCCCGCCGGCAUCAGGACCACCCGCUCCCGACUCCUCCGCGCCAUCCUCACCAGCGGCAUUGCCUUCCGCCACCCUCUGCCCUUCAUGCUCGUGACCGCCGUUCUCCUCCGUCUCGCCGCGAACUGGCCUUCCCCAUUACUCCACUUCCUCGUCUACGCUGUCCUCUCCCUCGAGUUCACGGUCGACUGCAUCCACGUCUACGUGUCCCUGGUCGCCCUUCUCUACUGCUGCGGGGUCUAUUCCCCCCGCGCCGGCGCCGCCCGUCGCGCCGCCCGAGCCGACCCGCUCAUGCGGCUCCGCGGAGCCUUCCUGUCCCUCGCAGUCCCCGUGCUCGCAUUCUACACCUACGCCGCCUGGGUCGCGCUCCGGCAGCUCGACGCUCGGGAGGACCUGCAGCUGCUGGGCGGGGCCUUGUACAUCGCCGGCGCCGGGUGCGUCGCCGUCGCGUGCCAGCUGGCCUGCGUGGUCUGGGUGCUCGACGAUGCCGGGGUCUUGGGCGGCAUGUGGAGGAGCCGCGUGCCCGUCCCCUGCACCAUGUUCUUCUUCUUGGUGUCGGUGCUCACCUUCUUCCCGCUCUACGCCUGCAUCGUGUCUGGGGUGGUCAUGUGGGCUGUGGUGCGGGGCUACCUGCCGCCGCUCGGUCUCGCUUUCCAGCUGCCCGUCGCUCUGUGCGUGGUGCUCGCCAUCACGCUGAUGGCGCAGCCGCUGGUGUAUCGGGCGUGCAAGAAGCCAGCGCACCUCGACCACGCCGGAGAGUAGAGCGGCUCGCCGGCGACAACGGCGUGGAGCAGCAGCCGGUGAAGAUGGCGCCGCAGUCACUACUACUGGCUAGUCCAGUGAGUCCCCCGCCCACCGGAGCAGAGCCAGCAGUACUGCUACCUAUUAAGAGACAAUUAUUUUUUGUUAAUCUCUCUUUCUCUGAUGGUCAUUUGUCUAGCUAG
rnacentral:rRNA from 1 species